CUACAAAGGAAUUGAGGGAACCCGCACAAGCGGUGGAGUAUGUUGUUUAAUUCGAGGAUACACGAAGAACCUUACCAGGUCUUGACAUACCAUUGACCGGUCUAGAGAUAGACUUUUCGCUUUCGGGCGGACAAUGGAUACAGGUGGUGCAUGGUUGUCGUCAGCUCGUGCCGUGAGGUGUUGGGUUAAGUCCCGCAACAAGCGCAACCCCUAUUGAUAGUUGCUAAUAUUAAGUUAAGGACUCUAUUGAGACUGCCAGCGACAAGCUGGAGGAAGGUGGGGAUGACGUCAAAUCAUCAUGCCCUUUAUGACCUGGGCUACAAACGUACUACAAUGGCCAGAUACAAAGAGAUGCGAAGCCGCGAGGUGGAGCGAACCUCAUAAAAAUGGUCUCAGUUCGGAUUGGAGUCUGCAACUCGACUCCAUGAAGUCGGAAUCGCUAGUAAUCGCGGGUCAGCAGACCGCGGUGAAUACGUUCCCGGGUUUU
rnacentral:rRNA from 1 species